rnacentral:rRNA from 1 species
GUGAGUCAUCGAAUCUUUGAACGCACCUUGCGCUCCUUGGUAUUCCGAGGAGCAUGCCUGUUUGAGUGUCAUUAAUAUAUCAACCUUCUCUUGUUGAGUGGUUGGAUGUGGGGGUUUGCUGGCCUCUUAAAAGGUUUUAGCUCUCCUAAAAUGCAUUAGCAGAACAAUCCUGUUCAUUGGUGUGAUAACUAUCUACGCUAUUGAAUGUGAAGGGCGGUUUGGCUUUCUAACAGUCUUUGGACAAUAUCAUCAUUAAUGUGACCUCAAAUCAGGUAGGACUACCCGCUGAACUUAAGCAUAUCAAUAAGCGGAGG